GAAACAAAAAAAUUGGUCUGCUAUCAGAUGGUACAUUUAUUUCAACACAAAAUGCAAGAAAGCUUCACGGUCUCAUGAAGAGGGCAUGCUUUUGAAUUAAUUCCGACUGAUCUGAAAUUCACUUAAAUUUUGUUGUUGAUUGAUCUGCAGUUAUUUUUUAUUUGUAGAGAAGUUCCGCAUUUGAGAAGCCGGAGAAGAGUAUCUCACUAAGUACAGAUUCGAGUGACUUUGCCAACUUGCUGACAUGGGGUCUCGUUCAGAGCACAAGCUUCACCUGAAUAACCUUCUUUCAGUUAGUAAAACACUCAGCAAAGCAGCAGACUCCGUCGAUGUCGUGCUCGUUUACCAGCCAUGCAUUCCAGACAAGUUGAAUGCCGGUGGCAACAGGCAUUCAACGGCACCCUCGUCGGCGCUCUACUCACAGGACCCCGCCUCCCACGCUGGACCUCCUUGCCGCCCGCACAACGCUAUUACUCCACGCACGCAUGGCCAAACUUCCUCAUAGGGGUGCGUAGGUGUGUCGUUCCGGCAGACCUAUUUUUUGGUGCUACGUCGACAUGCUAGGCCACGCUUCAUCUUCGACUGGCUCAACCUCCACGGCACGGCGUAGCCGCGCAGGCUACAAUCCGCCCAAGCGCCGGGAUGUGCAAGGCGUUCUGGGGCGUGCGUACGCCGACUA